UGAUAAUACAAGCGGAACUAUGUAGCUAAUACUGUUGUAACGGGGAUCCUUAUUGUAGCAACACACUUUUGGAUGGAAGGCAACCCUGCGCUGCGUUAACUAAGUUUUCAUGUCAUCCGGUGUAGUUCAUAAAGGUUGAAGAGUGUAUGUUAGGAUGAAGUGUGAAUUCAUGCAAGGAAUAAUAAGUGUGAAGUUUGAUUUCCUCCCUUCUGUAAUAAGCAGCCAAUGAGUUCUCACGGAAGGGGAUAAUUCUCACUGAAACUACAGAAUAAAGCCGUCCAGUUAAAAUCAAGGAACGGUUGUGCUCGUGGUUACUGAAGGGAGCUACAAGACCCUUAUCCGUUUCGAAUUCACCAACUGAAAGACGCUUGCCCUCUCCAUCAUAACUCCGAAGGGGAAGGGGAUGUUCGGGCUGAAAGUGAAGAAGAAGAAGAACAUAUUAGGAGGAUUCCGAUGGCUAUUAGAAGUACAGCACUGUCAAGUGCCUCAUCUUAGAACAAUCCAGAACUACUGUAACAAUCCAGAAUCAACUAUCAAAACAUUCCAUGUCACCCUGCCAAGUCCAGUUGUGCCUCGUUGUGUUCCUUAAUGGAGUCUGUACCAUGUGUGUGUGUAUGACUGUGUGUGUAUCUAUUAAUCACCCCGCUCCUCCGCUCUCUCCACUGGCUUCCAGUUGAAGCUCGCAUCCGCUACAAGACCAUGGUGCUUGCCUUACGGAGCUGUGA